AAUUGCAUAUACAUCCCUACGAACAUGAUGAAUUGCAUAUAUAUUUUUGUAAAGCUCAAUUUUCAUAAGUUAUUCCUACAAAAGUCAUAAUGUAUUCAGAUAUAUCACUGCCGUUAGGAUCCGUUAUAAAAAUUUCGUUAACCACAGUUAAAAUACUUAACUAUGGUAAAUUAAUAAUAUGAAUUGAUAAUUUUGCCCUUCUUCUUCCUCUUCUUCUUCUUCUUCUUCCCUUUCCUCUUCCUCUCCUGCUUCUUCUUCUUCCUCUUCUUCUCCAUAUCCUCCUUUUCCUCCUCCUUUUCUCCUCCUUCUUCUUCUUUUUCAUCGUCGUCGUCGAUAAUCCGAUCGUCAUCGUCGUCAUCGUGGUGCCCGCAUGGGUCGUCGUCACGGGCGCCUCCGACGACAUCGGCCGCGCCUUCGCCUUCCGCCUCUUCCUCGCCCUCGUUGGCCGCAACCCCGACAAGCUCCGCAAGGUCACCGUCGCUGUCGCCGCCGUCCGCUCCCGCAGCCUGAAGAGGAAGAGGAAGAGGAAGAGCGCAAGAGCAAAAUUAUCAUUUCACACCUCUACUGUUAAAAAAUUAAUAACUCUCUAACGGAUCCUAACCACAGAGAUAUAUCUGAAUACAUUAGGGGAGUGUUUGGUUCGCUUCUUUUUCACUCUGGAAUACGAGCGCAAGAGGGAGUGUUUGGUUCGCUUCUUUUUCACUCUGGAAUCGAAAUCGGAAUGGGCGAAUCCGUUUGUGGGUGUUUGGUACGCAGGAGUUCCAUUCCGAUUCCGAUUCCCGAGUGGAAUGAGAAUCCCGAAUCACCUUUUUUCUAAUCCGGCCUAAGAGGCCGGAUUGGAAGUUGAAUCCGGAUAAAAUAGAUAUUUAUUCGGAUUAAAUUUAU
rnacentral:lncRNA from 1 species